GAUGAACGCUGGCGGCGUGCCUAAUACAUGCAAGUCGAGCGAACAGAUGAGAAGCUUGCUUCUCUGAUGUUAGCGGCGGACGGGUGAGUAACACGUGGGUAACCUACCUAUAAGACUGGGAUAACUCCGGGAAACCGGGGCUAAUACCGGAUAAUAUUUUGAACCGCAUGGUUUAAUAGUGAAAGACGGUUUCGGCUGUCACUUAUAGAUGGACCCGCGCCGUAUUAGCUAGUUGGUAAGGUAACGGCUUACCAAGGCGACGAUACGUAGCCGACCUGAGAGGGUGAUCGGCCACCCGGGAACUGAGACACGGUCCAGACUCCUAGGGGAGGCAGCAGUAGGGAAUCUUCCGCAAUGGGCGAAAGCCUGACGGAGCAACGCCGCGUGAGUGAUGAAGGUCUUCGGAUCGUAAAACUCUGUUGUUAGGGAAGAACAAAUUUGUUAGUAACUGAACAAGUCUUGACGGUACCUAACCAGAAAGCCACGGCUAACUACGUGCCAGCCGCCGCCGUAA
rnacentral:rRNA from 1 species